GCUGUGAUGGCCGAGUGGUUAAGGCUUUGAAAUCCAAUGGGGUUUCUCCGCGUAGGUUAGAACCCUGCUCUCAGCG